UCUCCGCCUCUUUGUCUGCUCUGGGACUUGGAACAAAAGGGGGAACUCUGAUGAACUCCUUCUCCCGCUCCCUGGACGCCUGGGUAUGUCCCUCUCACAACUUUGUCAACGCGACUUUCUCCGCUGUCAGGCUGCGCAAAAGUGUCCCAGCGCCUCGCAGGCUGCAACAAUGGAAACAAUGUCCCUUCAAAGUGCGACGAAGUGGGGGAGAAGGUGUCAUUACCAGCGUUUCCAAGUGUCAUGUCAUGCUUGGCCAGAGUGCUUCCUACUGAUCUGCCUUCGAAUUGUUCUUAUUGGAUAUAUACUUCUCAGCCAGUGGCAUGGAGAUGCCACCACCCCAGCAAGUUAGCCGUGGACAAAAUACUAUCAAUUUCUUUCUUUGGAGUUUCUUCAGUUAAAUUGUUGGGAUUUUGGACAAUGCUUUCCUUAUGUGGAUUAUUGCAGCUUGAUGACUGGGAAUUCUCCACGUAUAGAAGCACUCCCAGGUGACUUCCCAAGAAGCCUGCACACCCAGCAUGUUCAGCCACAAGUGAGAUGAUGAAUGUGCCUGUAUCUUACCUGUAUCGAAGAAAGAAUGAACUUACCAUGAGAAGACUGUUUACUAGCAGCGGUUGAAGAAGCCCCUUUGACAUCAAGGCUGUCAUGCCAGUCAUGUGUCAUUAUAUUACAGUUGAAUGAGGGAUGGCCAUCCAGUGACCAAUGGGGAUUUACUGCCUUGAAGGCACGCAUGUGUGUGAUUAAGGGAUAUACAUGCAUGACUCCAGGAUUUACUUCCUUCCUGUCCCACAGAGUUACUGAAGGGAGUGAGUUAUGGGAUAAUUUAUAAUGCGGCAGGCCCUUCCUCAAGACAGCCCUCGUCAAAACAGGAAGAUGAAACUCAGGUUUCACCAAGGAGACCACAGCUUGGGAUACUGUCUGGACGUACCUCUUAAUUACAAGCAGAAAAGUCUUCAUACUUUUCCAUUUCUAACGCCCAGGCCCCGCAAGAGAUAUCUACUGAAAGGUUUUGUGCUGCCUGGGCAAAAAAAGAAACUUGGUUGAUGUAUUGCAGAACAAAGCUUCUAUUCACAAAGGCCAGAGAAUCUACAAACUACGAUGGAAGACUGAGCAAGCAUUCUGUGCGAGACGAGACUCCCUCCUGUCGUGUUUCCUCCAGCCUUCCCUCUUCGUUUGUGUAUUCUUGCUCCAGUUUUGAGUUGGUCGAGUGUGUGUGUGUGUGUGUGUGUGUGUGUGUGUGUGUGUGUGUGUGUGUGUGUGUGGUGUGGCGGGGUCGGGGGUGUCAAGUGGGUAUUUUCUGUCCUGGGCUUGGGUGCAACUAAGUGGUAGAUCUUUUACUAAACAUUACAGAGCUCUGGGUUACAUCUCCAGCACUAAAAGAAGGACUCAGAACUUUCAGCCUAAAAGAUUUAGCUGGCCUUGAGAGGGCUUUUGUGAGUGCAUGAGUGAGCGCAUGCGCGAGCAUAUAUAUAUGUGUGUGUGUGUGUGUGUGUGUGUGUGUGUGUUUCAAGCAAGGAAGUAUAGGAGAACAUUUGACAGUGUUCAAGGGGACUUGUUUCAUAACCAGUAACACUAAGUGUAGGCUUUUGUGCUUCAUUUUCAACUUUAAAUCCUAGCUUCAGCAUGUAUUACAAGAAUCAUUCUCCACUGAAGUGUCUGUGCACCCUGCGAUUGCUGUCAAAGGUCCCCCCACACUGUCUCAUUCAGGGGAGUCUUCUGAAUGGUUCUCAUUGAUAACAUUAGAUUCCUGAGCACUGAGUUCUGCAAGUGGUGUUUUUUAGGUUAAAAUGAUCAAGUUCACCUUUCACUUUGGAAUGCCCCAGCGGUUGGCAGCAACUUCUUGUAUUAGAGAGUGUAAAAAAGAACCAGGAAGACUUCCCAAGCUCUUCCUUCUCUCCCAUCUGCCCCGGUGACUGCAGCAGCCCCAUAAAUUACUGCUGCCCUUUUGAACUGACCUUCAGGUUCAGGAGAUGUAAAUAGUGAUGGCCUUGACACCACCUGCCCCCACCCCGGUGUGCACUCUGCUCAGGAGAAGGAAUCUCUUCAGUUAACUGAAAGCAGGUGGGCCAGUGGAUCAGUAACUCUAGAUACUUGACCGUCCCCAAUUCUGAGGCAACCUGCCCUAGUCCUGUUUCUGGCCUAGGCGAAGGUGUCUCCAGAGUGCAUCCACUUGUGUCUUUAGCUACUUUCUCUGUAUUGGACUCCUGUGGGUCUAGCCCUUACUAAGGUGGCUCCGAGGACACAGAAUAUGCAAGUGACAACUUUUAUAUGUCUGUUAAAAUCAAAAUCAAGGAAACCAGCACUACCACUAACAUGAUGCUAUACAGUGGUUUAGGCCUGGCUUGGUCUCCUAGCAAUGUGAUCUUAGGCAAAUUAUUUAACGUCUCUGUCUCAAUUUCCUUAAUUAUAAAAUUAGAAUGAUCACAAUACUUACUUUUCCUUAUUGUUGUUGUUAUUAUUAUUUCUAACUAGUUUUUUAUUUGUGUGUGCAUGCAUAUGUCCUAGUAUGUGAGACAGGUCCAUGGAGGUCAGGGGACAAUUUUUGAGAGUCAGUUCUCUCCUUGCACCAUGGGUUCCAGGAAUUCAAAGGCUUGCAUAGCAAGAGCCUUUACCAGCAGGCUGGCCCUCCUUUCCUUUCUUUUUUUUAAAGAAUUAAAGGAGAGCCAUCCACUGAAGUAUUUCUUAAAUAAACAUUAAGAUUUCAGGGCUCCUCUGUCUAUGAGAGUAAUAUACAAAAGUGGUAAGACCUACAGCCUAGGAACAGCCUCAGUGUGUGGAUUCUGACUUCUGGAGCAGCCACUUCUUUUGUUACAUAGAGAUUGGGGUGGUCUGGGGGUGUAUCAAUAUUGCUCUGAGUUUUCAAAAAGGGUUUAAUGAGAUUUAUUUUGCUGCUGAUAGUAAUUUUUCUGGAUUUAUGUGAUGUAUGCAUCGGGAAGAGGAUUAUCGGAAUACGUGCUUGGUUGUAUUGCCAGGUAUUGUCAGCAGUCCCGGUUUAUAGAUCCACACUGUACUGCAGGCUGAGUCAGAGAGGUGCCCCUGUAGGGGACCAUGAUAGCACUGCAGGGGUUGGCCUGUGUCGCUUUGGUAAUUCUUCACUUAGAAGCGAGGGCAUGAGGAGACAGUGCUUACCCAUCUGUCUACCGGAACAUUUGUAUGUAUAUUACCUGAGCAUUUAGGCCCACCGUGGAGAGAGAGGAUUUAAAAUGAAGAAGAAAAAAAGGGAAAAAAUGAAAAUAAAUUAACAUGAUGGAACCAACAGAAGUGUCUUUGCAGAGAAAGUGCCAACAGUUCUUAGAAGCAGACUUCAUAGCCAGUAGCAAAGCCCUGGGUUGUUGUCUUUUAGAAGCAAAACCCAACACACAAAGCUGAAGCUGAAAUCAGAACCUGGAACUGUUCCAGGGAAGCCUGUCCAUGCAGGCUUCUGAGUCUCAGAUUCAAAGGAGGGGAAAAAAUCCAUUUCGCAAAGUAACUUCUUACAUUGAUUGCUAGCUGUCAGUGUUUGAUGGGUAGAUCCUGAAACAUUAACUGAUUGAAUUCUUCAGUGCUGUGAGGUUAUAGUGGUGGCCUCCCUCUGCCGCUCUGCCCUUCUGAAUUUGUACAUGGACACACGAGACAUGCGCUAAAUGUGGAGUGGUGAGCGGAGUGCUACGGUUUGGCAUCCGCUUGUUCUUUCCUAAAGAGAACCAGUGGAAAGACAGAGGAUUUAAUGGAAAUAUUAUUUAUUGAUUGCUUAUGCUUUGUGGCAGCUGAUAAAUUGUCCAGCUCCUGACCACACAAACACACACACACACACACACACACACACACACACACACACACACACACACACGCCCAAUCCUCCCAUUCCAGACACAGUGAUACCCUGGGGGGCACACUGUAGGAAUGGAGGUUGAUGGUGUCUGCCUUUCUCAUACCCCUGGGCUCCUUUCCCUUUGGCACUGGAGACCGCCUUAUUUCUUUUCCUGUCUUCGAUGAACUACUUUGAGAGUAAAGCAACUUAAGAGAGAAAGGGCUUAUUCUGGCUCCUAGUUCAAGGGCAUAGUCUCUCCUGGCAGGGAAGUGAAGGCUUCAGGAGUUAGAUGCAGCUGCUUGAGUCAUACCUACAAUAAAACAGCAGACGGUGGUGAAUGCCUGCUGCUGCCCAGCUCCCUUACUCCACUGCAGCCCAGGGGUCCAGCCACCGGAGGUGCCACCCACAGUGAGCAGAUCUUCCCAUCUCAGUUGGUGCCAUCACAGUAACCCCCAGGGCCUAUCAAGUUGGCAGUUGACACUAACCAUCACAGGACAGUCACGCUCUGUGCUUCCACUUGAGAGUGAGAGAAGCAUCUAUCUUGCAUGUUGAAUUGUUUUGACUGUUUUGUUUUUAAGCCUAGGAGUUCCCUGCACCACAGCUCUGAUUUCUAAGAGUUGUGACUCUCCUCUGCUUGGCGGGCACCUAACUCCCAGGGUUCUGUGUUUCACCCUGCACCCACAUGCCUCUAGACUAGUGACCUCCUUAGGAUGAUGUGGGUGGCAAGAGGCUGUAGAGAUCAAGGACCUCAGGAAGAUGCAGAAACCAGGUUCUAAACCAGGUUCUAUAGAGCAUUCAGCCCUCUGUGGCAGGUUUCCACACUCAGCCAGUGCUGGCUGUACUGUGGCUAAUGGAUAGAAAUGGGCUGAGGAAGAAAAGAUAAGGUAGAGCAAGGACUAUCACUCAGGACUUGAGAUUUCAUAUGAGACAAAAGGAAGAGAUUACAAAAGCAUGGUGAAGAGGGGGUAUUUCCCAAGAGUAGCAGUUUACUUUCUAUUGAACCUAGGAACAAUGCAUAUUCAUUCAUUGGCAGGCAAUUUGGGGUAAUGGAGUGUGGACAAUUUCUGAAUUUUACCUCCUUGCCUCCUGUGGUCAGUGCUGCCUUUUGUCGUGUUAGAAAGAAGGGGUGAUGGUGGGGGGGUGGGCUACAAGAGAAAGCAAGUGAAAUGCUUUCCAGAUCUGAUAACUUCAGAGAUCUCAGGAGAAAACUCUGGCUCAGGUCCCAGGAUGAGGUCACACAGUCUGCUGUUGGAUUUAUGUUGGGAUGUCAACCACACCAAAGGCAUGCGGCCACGAUCCCUCUGCAGUCAUUUAUCAGGGUGAAGGAAUGGCCUUUGGGUCAGUUGUGUAUAUACCCUGUGACUGCUCAGAACUACUGAGAAGGGUACCCUAUUCAUGGUGGAAGAAGCAUUAAAUAUUCUUUUCUGUUGAACACUAUGCAACUUCCAUGUCAUGAAAUUCAAAUCUUUUAUCUCCUCCACCUUGUAAAACCUUUAUGCAAAUAUUUUAAUUCUUCCUUACCUGGUGAGACCUUUGUUUACACAAAGGCCGUGCAGCAUUUUCUACACUCAAGUGACUUAAAUGGCCCACCGCUUCUCCAUUUCUUUGUGCUGAUUCUUUGAAGACUAGCCAAUUGUGAAAGCUUGUGAAGGCAGACCCCAGCCAAUGGGAGAAGGCACAGUUGCUCCCUGUAUUAGAAUAAAGAGCAAGAGAAGUUUUUGCCACCCUGUGCUUGCUGGGCAGGCUUGGGUUUGUGCAUCUUAUUCGCAAGGAUAGCCUUGCUGAGAAGCUGUCACUUGGCUUGUUUUUUUUUGUGAGACUGAGAUUGUUCUGUUUCUAACAACGGGCCUAUGUGGAUAUUUUCUUGAGCAUGUCUGGAGGCCCAGUGUUUUUGUCUCCAUAAGUCCUUUUGUGAUUGUCCGUAGAUUUGGGGGAAAGAACUCCUCCUCUGUGAAGCCAUGUUUGAAUCCGAAGCAUCAAAGGCAAACUGCCAUACCAAUGCCUUAUAUAACCAAAGUACAAAAGAGCUGGUGAGUGUUAGGUUUGGGGAGGGAAAGCGGAAGAGGAGUUUGAGAGAGAGGUGCUGAUGGGAAGUGUCCUUUAGGCAAGAAGGAGCUUUAUUAAUGCUGGUGGGUAGACAGGUAAUACAGCAGCACAGCAGGGACCUGAGACAAGAGGCUUCAGGCUUAGCAAGGUGUCUUGGGUAUCUACUCCUGAGGUUUUUGAGGAUGUGUGUGUAUGGGAUUCUGCACUACAGGGAAACAAGCUUGGUUAAUAUGUGACCUAUGUUAUCUGACAGAGGUGAGAAAGCAGGGGUCAUGUGACCCAGACUACAUGUCAAGUGUCGUUUUUUUUUUCCCCUCUGGGUAAGAAAGUGGAGCUUGGUUAAUGUUUGGCCUGUAAGAUAGGGCCAUUGUCAGGCUGCCUCCAACAUUCCCCCAUCAGGAAGUGUGUGUUGAGGGGGACAGGUGUGCACCCAUCCUGUUUCUAGAGGUCCUUUUUGCUUAGGGCCUGGUUCUGAUGAUGAAGGAGCACAUCCUGUGGUUCCAACUAGUUGGACAGCUGUGAUAGGAAGAUUACUUGGGUACAGGAAUUUGAAUUGGUCUGAGUACCAUAGAAAGUACUAUCUCAUUCAUUCAUUCAUUUACUCAUUCAUAUAUGUACAGAAAUGUAUAUGUUAAGUGUAUGUGUAUGGCAAUGAUGUUCACAAUAACUAGCGCUUAUUGACAGCUAACUGUACCCCUUAGAGCAUUCUAAGAGCCUAACAAAUCUUUCAGCAUAUGCAGUUUGUGCUGCUAACCUGAUUUAUAGACAAAGUAUUUUGUGGAACAGAGAAGUAAAGGGAGGCAUGCACAGUCUAAAAGUUUGAAGAAGAAUAUACCACUCACUGAGACAAUAAGCUGCGUGCUUCAUAGCAAACUGAAUUCCUUAUUGUGCUCCCUCCUCACACUUGCCCAGAGGAGUUCACAAGUGAGCGGAGGAGUUUUUAUGUAAAGCAAGCUUGGAAAUGUGCUACUAGACGGAAGGCAAUUUCAAGAGGAGUGUGCUAGCAAUUACAUGGAUAAUUCUCCAGUUGAAUCCCUCCUGGGAUCAUGUUGAAAAUAAGCGAAAUUGAACUGUGUUCAAAGUAAGAGCAAAACACGCAUGAAAACAGAUUUCUCCAAGCACAUGUGCCAUGGUGAAUCUAUGAAGUGGUACCUAACUACCUCUGGGAUGGUGUUGGUGAUGAGAGAACGUAGCCUGGGCAACCAAAAUGAUGUCAUUUAUGUCUCAACAGUUAGUUUAAUACGUUGGACAUUAGCACUUUGGGCUCUGGCUUCUGAUAGGUAGAUGUCACUGGGAGUGGUCAGGUAGGGAGAGAGGCAGUGGAAGAUUCUGGUGACUUAGGAGUGGCCAUCAUGAGCUAUACUUUUCUCUGUCAGUCAUCUCCUGGGGAACCCACAGUAUUUGCUCAUGGUGGUGUGUGGGAGACCAGAGGGAAGACCUCUAGGGAAGCAGGGAAUGGCUAGGGACAGAAAACAGCACUUCACUUUUCAAUGUCAGGGGAAAGAUAAUCUCAGUAAGUGUCCUUUAGUGGAUGUGAAUUCCAGGAGCUUCCUUAGGCCUCAGCUCUCUCUCUUUUAAAAUUAUUAGCAAAUAAAAUUGACCUUACUAUACUCAUUUGAAAUUGAAAUAGGUUAAAAUAAAAGGCUAGUACUAGGGCCUAGAGCCCAUAAGGGAGGUUUCCAAUGUCAGUGACAAAGUGAGAGCAAUCUGUCGCUUGAAGUAAACAGUUUCAGGGUCACCCCACUCUGCCGUGACCCAGGGCAGACUUCAUCUCAGGAAGACUGGAAUGAAACUUGUUAGGAAGAUAUGAUGCAUACAGUUGAAAAAGUAAUUACUGUUAAUAUCCAGGUCUAUCUGUCCAUCUAGCUAGGAUUACCUUUAGAGAUCCUUCCCAUACAUUCAGAUGGGUUCUGGUGACAAAAGACAGCUCAUGGUUCAGACAUUUGCCUCAGUGACUUAAACACCGUGGUCCGCCAUUGACAGCAGGGUGGAGCUCUGUGGUCUGGCUGCCUGGUGGUGUAUCCCUCUCUGUAAUAUCCCUGUCCUCACUGACCCAGAGUCUUAGCUAGGCUUCUAGAGCAUCACCAUGGGACUUUGUGCCUUCCUUUUUGAUAAUUCGUUUUUGUUUUGAGACAGAGUCCCACACUGUAACCCAGCCUCACCAGGAACUCACUGGAUAGUCCAGGCUUGCCUCAAACUGUAGCUUGUCCUGCCUUUGCCUCCCAAGGACUAAGAUGACAGCUGUAUGCCAUCAUAACCCACCUCUUAAAAUUCUGUUUUAUUUUUUUGAGACUGUGUCUCAUGCAGCCCAGGCUGAUCUCAAACUCAGUAUGUAGCUAAAGACAACAUUGAAUUCCCUGCCUCCACCUCUGGGUAUGAAUUCCGUGGAAAAAUUAUUAUUAUUUUUAAAUUUCUGGUAGUAUGCAGUUUGAUUUGUUGGUGAUUUUCUAGCUCUACUGUAAGGUCUUUGAGAGUGUGUCUACUAAUUUUUCUUCCUUUAAAAUGGUAUAUUUUACCAUUUAAAAAAGUAUAAGAUGAUUGCUUAUUUCUGCCAUCUCAGCCCUUGGGACGCUGACGCAGAAGGGUCUCUGUACUACAGUGCGAGGCCGUGGCUCAAAGAAAAACAAACAAAUCAUUUUUCUUUCAAUUUUAAUGUACUACAGAUAUAACCUAGAGCCAUCAAUACAUGGGCAAACACUCCAGAGAUGGACCUAUUUCUAGCCCCUUCUUUUAAUUUCCCCAAACCUCAGUUUCCUUGCAUGUGAAAGAGGGGACUUAAUAAACAGGCAGUAAGCACUUACUGAACUCUGGUCACUGUGACAAUGAAUACAAGUACUUAACAUGCACUUGCAGCUCUUAGGAUGUUAAGUUAGCAGCACCCCCCCCCCCCACCUCCUCAUGUCCCCUACCAAGGAGGAGUGCCCCCGAACCCCUGUAGGCUGGCUGCCUCGAGGCCAUUUACCUUUCACUAAAAGCCCAAGAACCCAAUCUCCAGGGUUUAGUAUUGAUCCCAUCUAGUCCAUAGAGAAUAUGCUAAUCAUCUUUGCUAAGUGCUUUUGGCCAAAGGUGUAAAAGCCUUAUUCCAUUUGGGUCAUAAAAAAGCAAACCCCUGAAAUUUCCGUCUUGGAAUUUGUGAUUAUGGAAUUUGCAUCUUGAAAGGCAGUAGUAUCUCAAAUUUAAUGAUAAGCCAUUUUCAGUGGAGUAUUCAUAAUUUUUUUUCAUGACCUCUCUGGUUGAAAGAACUACAGUAGGGUAUAGAUUUCUGUGGCAUACUAUUUAAUUUCUAUAAAAAUUAUGCAAAUCCUUCCUUUCUUUCUGUAUCAGCUGGUAUGGCUUUGGGGGCGGGGGUAUUUAAAGCUAUUCAUGUGCAAGAAGCAAAACUUUUACAGAAUGGUACUUAGGCUGUCAGUCUGCCUCAGUUUCUUCAUCAGUGAAUAUAACCCUGGCCAGCUGCAUACCUCCCUGGAACAUUAGGAUGAAUAGCUCCGAGCUUGUAAAGUACUUUAAAUGUCUUGGAUGAAAGGGUCCCUGUAAGUAUAGGUCUUAGGAAGGUAUUAUAUGUGGUCUUUCAAAACUGUAGUGCAGCCUGUUUGGCAGGAACGCUAAUGCACUUCUGGCUUUAGAGUCGUAAAGAUAUACAUUGAGAGGCCUCGGGCUUCGUCUUGUGAGUUCUCGAGGCAAUGCGCCUCCACUUGCUCCCCUGUUGCAGAGAUUCUGUCUGAAGCGCAGGUACCUGCAAGUGUGCACACGCUGAGCUGCUCUGCGGAUGACAGGCUGCCUUGGCUGCUCUGGUAUUGAGAAAGCUCGGGCUGUUGGUGAGAGGAGGGGCCCCGGGUCCUCUUGGGACCCUUUGGGGCUGCUCUAAUAUGGGGAGAGAGAGAGAGAGAGAGAGAGAGAGAGAGAGAGAGAGAGAGAGAGAGAGAGAGAGAGAGAACAAGCACGUGCACUAAUGUAAUGUACAAAGUAAUUACAAACCAAUGUAAUGCUGAGGGAGAGGUUUGUCACGUGCUGAUUUGGGGUCUGGAUUUUCCAAUCAGUGGGCCCAGUUCUACCAGGCAAGUUGGCUACUUGUCAUGAAACUCAGUUUCCCUGUAAGACAGCCCUAAUAUUUAUAUUACCCACAGCCAGAAUGUAAAUGGAGAUGCAGAUAUACAUAUCUGCAUGAUGAAAAAUUGAUAAACUAAAGACCUGCCAAAUAAAGUGUACACGAAAAUCCUGUUAUGCAUACAACUGUACCUUUACAUGAAACUUGAAGGCCAGCUUUGAAUUCUGAGUUUUGAGACUCUUAAGAAUCCCCUACCUACUAGUUGGUAUGGAAAUACAUAGUAGUGAUUCUUCAAGUUCCUGUAUGAUUGGUAAAAUGCACACACACACACACACACACACACACACACACACACACACACACUUUAUUUGAAUUUGAGACAGAGUUUUUACUCUUGAGCCCAAGCUGGCCUCAAACUUACCAUGUAGUUCAGGGUGCUAUCAAAUUCAUGGCCAUCCUCCUGCCUUGGCCCCCUGAGUGCUGGGAUUCUGCCUCAGUGGAUUGUAUAACGAGGACAAGGUGUGCCUGAAGGAAAAAAUCUAAAUAACCUUAGUAGUACAUUCAGGCUGGUGCACCUGAUCCUGAAGAGGAUAUAGGGCUUAGUGUAUGUGUACUCUUAGGACAUAGCAUUGUUGCCUGUGGCAAAUACACUUUAGCACAGGGUCUCUCUUGCCCAGCAUGCAAGAUGUACUGCAUAGAGGGUAGUAGUGAGCCUUCUUCCAAGUGUUAGGACUGCAGGUGUGCACUUCCAUGUUGGUCUGGUACUGGUGCUGGAUAUUGAACUCAGGACGUCGUGCACACUAGACAAACACUGGGCUACACCUCCAGCUCAUGAGCAUUCUUUAUAGACUAUGUAUAAUUAUGCUUUUAGGAAAGUUAAUAUAAAGUAUGAAAAACUUUCUUAGCAGAAAAGCCUCAGACUAGGUAAAUCAUGUCCACAUUUACCAACGAUGAGAGUGAGGGCUAUGUCCUAGCAAACAGAAAGAUGUCUGGGUUUCGGUCUCUAGGACCUAGCACAGUGCUCUGUUGUUUCUUGGUAUCGAAUCUGUUCAUUCUAUAUCACAAAUUCAAUACGUAUUCUUGGCUACUUCUCUCCUAAGUGUUAUCCUGGGCUUAUUGGCAAUAGCAGUGAACAGAUAUAGCUUCCUGUCUUCACAGAGUGAAUGCUUCAUAAAACAGAAAGUGAGAUGUAAGGGUAAUUGUAAAACUGUGCUGUUUCCUUUAUAGUGGCUUCUUCUCUGGCCACUCAAUUGUUUCAUACUGAUACAUUAUAUCUCCAGACCAGCCAUGAUUAGGGAAUACUUCCUCUAGCAGACAUAAUAGAGAGUCACCAUAGAACAAGAGAACAGGCCAUUGCUUGAUUAAAUGACUUGGGUUUUGUAUGGAGCUAUAUUCAAAUGCUCAGGUUCUCACUGUUGGAAAUAGUCAUGUUCUUUGGAGCUCUGAUGUUCUGGAAUGCUAGCCUUUUCAUCUUUCAGUCUUUGCUCUGUUUAAGAUGUUGCCCUGGGCUCUAUGAGAAGUUUCAGAGACACUGCAGUAUAUAAAAGAACUUCAGAGUAGUUGUUGGUAUGUCCUAACCCGUCAGUGUUAACUGACCAUACUACUUAUCUGCCCAAAUCCUGAAUGAAAUGAGUUCCUUCCCCUCCCUGACUCCUUCCGUGUCCCUGAAGGAAGUUGUCCCUGAACCCUGCCACACAGUAGCUGCAGAUACUUUUCAACACCUGGAGUGCUGUCCUUGUGGUUCAGCUGACUUCUCUUGGAGACUUCUUCAUGAAGAGAUCAGUAGGAUUUAUCGAAGCUACUGGAAAGCUACUGGGAAGUGCCAGGUGGAUCCGGAUGUAAACUAAUUGUGAAAUCCAACAUAGAAAAAGUCGCCACCCCCCCUUUACUUUUCUUCUCUUCAACUCAAUGCAUUUUAAAAAGCCUUUUGGUUCACAUAAAUAUAUGUUAUGUGAUCUGCUGUUAAAGGGCCCACCCUUCCUGGUUUGGGACAAAUACCUCCCUGAAGCAAAGAGACACCUUGACUGUUGACACCCCUUUGUGGUGGCAAUCAUAGGUGAGUUUGUUUUGCUAAUCAAAAUGUAAUGGAAUUGCUUUAUUGAGAGGUGUAACAAAUAUUGUUGAUAGUCAGGAACUUCUGCUGUUUGAAGAGGGGUCAGCCAGUUCUCACUGUAAGGUUUUCACAGUCUACUACUCACUGUGGGGUAAUCUCUGUGGGUGUGGCUCUUCUGUUAGUCUUUCUACUGUAAUUUUUAAAAUUUGCUAUAUUAACUAUAAUCUACCCAGAUAGAGUUAGGUUUUUGCCAAUAAGCUACAAAGUGUGGUGCAAUUCUAAAGGAAUGAGAAGAAGAUUGCUGACCAGAUUUUAUGGUUUUGCUAAAUAAAAAUGUGAUUUAAAAUAAAGUAAAGCAACCAGUUUUGGGCUUUGUUUCUAGCAUGUUGUUGGAUGCUAGCAGGUUGUUCAAGGACUCUGGGUCUUCUCCUUCCUUCCCUCCCUCCCUUUCCCUGGGAUGGAACCCAGGGCCUCAUACAUGCUAGGCAAACAGUCUCUCAUGGAGCUGUAUUCCUAGCCCUGGAUCGUUUUAUUUAUCUAGUAUUUCUGGUAUAAUGUUUCUUUUGAGUUUAAAGUUCAGGGAUUAAUAAAAGACCCUUUGAAGCUGUAGUGUUUCUUAAACCUAGCUAUAUAAUACAUAUUAUAAUACAAUUGUUUAAGAGCCUUGUGUUGUUACAUCUAAAGUUGAUGUGGUGUCAGGUGCUUUUAGUUCCACUAGGGCCAAGAGAGUCACUCAAGUUAGGAUUUUGAGACUAGCUUGAGCAGUACAGCCCAAGUCUAAAUCUGAACGCAAGAAUGAAUGAGCAUGGAUGAGCAUAUCCUGACUACCUGUCAUUUUCUAGUUUAGUCAGCCUAGGUGUGGCCUUUGGAGCAUCAGGUCCCUAGGGACUCAAGUUAUAGUUUGUUGUACGUCACCAUACGGGUGCUGCUAAUUGAACCCAGGUUCUCUACAAGAACAGCCAUGUGCUUAACCACUGAGCCAUCUCUCUAGGCCCUGGAUAUGUAUAUCUUAUGCGAGUUCCCUUGUGAGAAUCACUGGUACUUGUAGUGGGGAGGGUGGUAUGGAUCCCUGAGAAUUCAGGAAGGCUCUGGAAUUUUGUCUUCAGACUGCUGUGAAUAUGCAUCUAUUUAAAAACUGUAUCUCAUCAUGUAUCCCAUAUAUUUAACAAGCUUUGAUUAAAAAAAUAAAUUCUCUGACCCAGAGUCUCUUUUAGGAGUUGGUUCUUACAAAUUUCACUAAUCCAGUUCAUCACUACUGAAUGGAAUUGCAGUGAUUGUCUGGGGGACAUGAACAAAUGACAUUUGAACUGCUUAAGAAGCUUCCUUUCUGCUGACCAGCUGUCAUAAUACUGGAAAGUGCUAAAAACCAUCAGUAGUCUUGCCUAGCUGUGAAGCCUGUGAACCACAUUAAUGACCAGCGUGAGAAGAUUUGCCAAGGGGUGUAAUAGUGGCAUGAAUGUUAUAGAGAUGGAGGUUAAGGCAGAAACUCACAAAUGAUAACUCACGGAGAAUAAGUGUCUGUGGAGUGCUUAGCUACUACAGAUGGGGAGUCUAUAUCACUUCUAUCUCGGAGGUCCCAGACCAUAUCUGAAGAGAGGGCAGAAGGAGUUGAGAGCCAGAGGUGGAGCGAUCUAGGGGAGUCCAUCCGCUAUUUGUGGAGCUCUGUUUGUGGAUGUGGAUGUUUUGAACUCUUCAGCCUCAGACUUGGUCUCAGUAUUACCAGCUGAAGAAGCUGGGAACCAGAAAGCUUGUGAGAAGAAUCCGAAGUCAAGACGGGGAGAUGUCUUAACAUGAGAAAAGCCAACGAUGACAUCUGACACCGAGGGUGGUUUUCACAGAAGUUCUGAAGCUGAGAUGCUGUGAAGGAGAACUGUGGUGGCUGUGAAGUAGUUGGAGGGAAAGAGUCUUGACAUAAAAGUCAAACCGCGACGAUCCCAUCUGAAUGCCAGAGGGCAUGCGCACUUUUACAAGCUUGGAUAUUAUUGGCACAGGAAGCGGAGCAUAUGCUUAAAUAUGGAUUUCCUUUGCUAUUUGGAGACCCUUUCCCUGUUGUGCUGUUUUGGUAGGCUGCCAUUCCCCUCCAUUUGGUUGGCUUGGAUAGAGUAUAUCUUGCCUUGGAUCUUACAGAUCCAAGCCUGGUGGCACCUGGUCAGUGUGGGAACAAGGAAAAGACCCCUCCUGUGGAUUUUUCAGUCCUGGAUGUAUGGGCCCUCCAUGAUUCUCUCUCCUUCUGUAACAGCAGACCCCAGGUUUCGCUCAGAGUACUUAGGAGAGAAAGAGGGCAUAUAAUGAAUGCUAGAACUUCAUCAAGAAGGCUGUCUUAGUUACAUUUCUAUUGCUGUGGUAAAAUGCCAUGACCAAGGCAACUUAUAAAAGAAGGCUCUUAACUCGACUUAUAGCUUUAGAAGGUUAGAGUUCAUGGCGGUGCCAUGAAGGUAUAGCUGAGUGCUUACAUCUUGAUCUACAACUGAGAGAGAGAGAGAGAGAGAGAAAGAAUAUGCCCACUGGCAUUAGUAGGAGUCUUUUGAAACCUCAUAGCCCACUCCCAGUGACAUAUCUUCCCUAACAAGGUAGUACCCUCCUAAUCCUUCUCAAACAGUUCCACCAACUGGGGACCAAGUAGUCAAAUAUGUGAGCCUAUGCGGAUCAUUCUCCUUCAAAUCAUUGGAAGAGAUAAAUAAAGAAGGGUUCCAGUGAGUUGGAAGCUGGGGCAGUGUCACCAUUUGUAGUCCUGCAGGUCAGAACUAUCUUUGGGAUCUCCAUAUUGAAUUCCAAACAAAGCUACAUCUUUCACAGCUGCUUCGUUUGUGGUUUGGGAGCCUGCAGCGACUCCAUGAGGGAAGACAUGGAGAUGGUCAUUCUAGUGACUGAGAACUUCCCCACAGUGCACCAGAGAUUCUCACUGACCAGUGACUGACAACUUGGAAUUCUGCAUUUCAAGAGCUGCGGUCUGUUCCAGUGGCCAGGGGUUACAUGGCUGGUUGUUGAGCACAGACUCUCAACAUACAUUUCCUAAACCAUUUAGCCUUGUACUGUGAUAAUGGACCAUUGGUGUGAGAAAGGACCUUAACUAUCACAUAUGAUCGGUGAGUCUCUUUACUCAGAUGGCCUGUGACUAACUGGGGGAAAGGAGGGUGAUCAUUCUUUUUGUUCUGAAUCUAUAGUGCAGCUUGGUUCGACUAGACCAAUUCAUAAAUCAUAGUGAGUUGUAUGUUUCAAGAUAUCGAUGGACAAAAUGAUUCUUUAUGGGCACGCUGGGCCCCUAACUGAAGUUACUUCUCAGAUAAUGCCUCCUACUUCUUGUCAGUUUUCUUUUACCCUGUUACCUGUGUAUCUAUAGUUUUUCCUGUACCAGGUUUCAGCUGAAAUGUCAGAAGAGGCAGGGCUUGAGGUUAAAUAACAGCUCUGCUGGUUUGGGGCUUUGUCACAUCCAAUGAGUCAUUUCUCUGCAGUAAGUCUCAGGCUCCUUUUAUUUUAUUUUAUUUAUUUAUUUUUUUUUUGCAAAAUGGGAAAUAAAGGGCCAGCAAGAUGGCUCAGCAGGACAAGGCAUUUACUGCCAAGGUCAAGCCUCAGGAUCUCCAGGCCCCAUGUGGUGGAAGGAGCCAAGUGACUUCCUCUGACCUUCACAAGUACACCAUGGCACGUAUGUGUAUACACACACAAAAUCAAUCCAAAAACUAUAUUUAAGGGAAAUAAAAUGUUCUCACAUUUUUGCUUUGUUGUGAAGAUUCUUGUCUGAGCAGGUAUAUAGGGAAGGGGAAUGGAUUGCCAUACAAACACUUGUUUUUGUUUGGCAAUCUGCAAUAUAAUAAAUAUUCAUGAGCAGAAGGAUGGAGGACAAAACCCUGCCUCUGGGGACCUUCCCUAGGCUGGGACUGACUUAGAUGGUGACAGCAUCCUGGCUUACCUGUAUUAGCCUAACACACUGCCCACACAGUCAGCACAUGUCUUUACAUCAGGAGCUUCAAGUUGUCAAGAGGGCCGUUGUCUGAUUCCCCACUUAAGCCCAAAUACAUCAUGUCCACUGCAGUUCCUUCAUCUGCCAGGUUGCUAGCCUUGUCAGAGGAGGAAAUGAGGUUUGCUUUGUCCCUGUGGAACCAACACUGUCUGGCAGGACUGACACUUGUUUUUCUAUGUUGUCACAGCCCAUUGUCUUAACACUCUUCCAAGAUCUUGUCCGGGAUCAACAGUCAAAGCACUGGUGUCAUGUGGGGCCCCCCUUUCUCUUUUUCUAUCCUAUUGUUUUGAAAUAAGGGACUUUAUUCUCCACAUCUUUAGUCUUCUGGUACCAACUCUGCUUUCCCCUCAGGACUUACAACAAAGGACGCCCAGGAGCCUUCGCUUUCGGGUCCAGGUGGCACUCACAGUGCAUUUUAGUCACUCUUUUCAGUUUUGCUGAUAAUGCUGUGAGCUCAGCAUGAGUUGUGUUUGCCCUUGUAAUAUCACCAUGGCUAAAGUCUCCACGUUGAGAAGGCCAUAGAAAUGUGUUCUGAUAUGUGAUCAACGCAUUAAAAAUACAGUGUUGCUUUCAGCCCCCGUAUGAAAACAAAACCAACAUUAUAAAAAAGCAGUAUGCUAUUAAAGGUAUGGUGGUAGUUUAUUUUAUGGCUGACAAAAUUAUGUUUCAUUGUUGAGAAGUCGAGAUUUAAAGAGAUAUUUGGGGGCUGGAGAUGUAACUCACUUUGUAGAAUGCUUGUCUGGAAUGUGUGAAGCCUUGGGCUUGGGCUUUGUCACCAGAACCUCAUAAAUCAGGCAUGGAGGUGCACAUAUACAAUCCCAGCACUUCAGAAGUGUGGUCGCAAGAUAAGGGGUUCAGGGUCAUCUUUAGCUACAUAGUGUGUCCAAGACCAGCAGCUAUGUGCAAGCUUGGACACAGACAGAAACACAGACUCACAGACACACACACACACACACACACACACACACACACACACACACAUACACUGUAGCUAGAGUUUUCCUGCCUGGCCCACAGUAAGGACAAAUCUCUCUCACCCCCCAGUCCCACAGCCGCUCAAACCCGACCAAGUAAACACAGAGACUUAUAUUGGUUUCAAACUGUAUGGCCAUGGCAGGCUUCUUGCUAACUGUUCUUAUAGCUUAAAUUAAUCCAUUUCUAUUAAUCUAUACCUUGCCACAUGGCUCGUGGCUUACCGGCAUCUUCACAUGCUGUUUGUCAUCAUGGCGGCUGGCAGUGUCUCCCUCCCCCAGCUUCCUGUUCUCUCAAUUCUCCUCUCUGUUAGUCCCACCUAUACUUCCUGCCUGGCCACUGACCAAUCAGUGAUUUAUUCAUUGACCAAUCAGCAACACAUUUGACAUACAGACCAUCCCAUAGCACUUCCCCUUUUCUUUUCUUAAAAAGGAAGGUUUUAACCUUUACACAUCUCCAAAGUCAGCUUGGUAUAUUUGGGAAAUUGGGCGUAGCUUCUCUAACUACUUCCUGCUGGAGGGGGGCACUGUAUCUUCUGGGGAAACAAAGAAAAUUUUAGGAUCAUGGAGUAGUCCGUGAGGAUGUAUCGUCUAAGCCAGUUGCCUUGAAACCAUUCUGGAUGUUGGAUCUUCUGGGCCUUGGUGUCACCUUUCAGGGGGUCUUGGCUGGUCAAACCUGAUGUAUCUUAAUCUGGAACAAAUCCAUAGCCUCUGGCUUUCUGUGGGAACAAAAGCAGAAUCUCCUUUCCAAAGCAACAUAUCCUUAUAUCCAAAUUUUGAAGUCAAGGUACCUUUAAAAUAUACAUUUUGGCAUAACUGAACAGCUUUUACAAUCAAAUGUUUUUCUGCAGUUAAAAAUCCCAAAGACGCCAUAAUCCAGAUUCUCUGUGUAAUAUUUAUCUUCACGUGGCUUAUUUUUUAUAUCAAUUUUACUGUCUCUUUAAAGACUUUAUUUUUAAAACUAUGUAUUUGUUUCUAUACUGUAUUUAUCACCUUUUUUGUCUCUUUCAAGCCUACGUAUAUUUUACACACAUUUUAAACUAUUAUAUCUGAAUCUGUCUUAUUGUGAAUCUAUUGUUUUAAGCUGCAGCAGCUGUGGCUGCUGGCUCCGCCCACCUCAGCUUCCCAACAUGGCCGUGGCACACCUUCCACCAGCUCUGGGAGCCAUCGUGGGUCUCUAUGCUUUCAUCCAAGCAGCAUGCAGCCCAGAAACCUCUUUUUUUUUUUUAUUUUGUACUAGCAAAGUCUAAAUCCACCAUGCAGCUUAAUGUGCCACUUGCAGAGGCCUCAUUCCUGCCAUACUGCAGGUCGAGCACAUACACUAGGAACCCACAAGUAGCUCAAACCGGCAGCUGCCGCACAUUUGAGAGAGACAAUUAGGAACUGUUUUUAGCUCCGUUUUAGAAUCUUUUUUUUCAGUUUUUAGGUGGAAAUUCUUGCCCCACGUUGGACACCAUUUGUAGCUUGAGUUUUCCUGCCUGGCCCACAGUAAGGACAAAUCUCUCUCACCUGCCAGUCCCACAGCCUCUCAGACCUGACCAAGUAAACACAGAGACUUAUAUUGGUUACAAACUGUAUGGCCGUGGCAGGCUUCUUGCUAACUGUUCUUAUAGCUUAAAUUAAUCCAUUUCUAUUAAUCUAUACCUUGCCACAUGUUUCGUGGCUUACCGGCAUCUUCACAUGCUGUUUGUCAUCCUGGCAGCUGGCAGUGUCUCCCUCCCCCAGCUUCCUGUUCUCUCAAUUCUCCUCUCUGUUAGUCCCACCUAUACUUCCUGCCUGGCCACUGACCAGUCAGUGAUUUAUUCAUUGAUCAAUCAGCAACACAUUUGACAUACAGACCAUCCCACAGCAACACACACACACACACACACACACACACACACACACACACACACACACACACAGGGGCUGGGGGAUUAGAAAUGAAACUGAUUUGGUAUUUAAAAGCCCAAAGUCCAUUUGAGGCCAGCCUGGCCUACAUAGUGAGUUCUAGGCUAGCUAGAGUUACAUAGUGCAAUCCUGUCAAAAACAAAAACCAAAGCAAAACAAACAGAAAUAACCAAAAUAACCCUAAAGGCCAUUACAUGGAGUUUUUACUUUGUGUAGUGCAAUGUGGUUCAAUGUUAACAUGAACAAAAGAGCCUAAUUUAAAAUUAUUUCCUCUUAAUGCUUUAUUCUAGAUAGCAGUACAGAUGUCUAUUUAGUAAACAUGGUGUUUUUGCCUUUGUCAAAUGUUUGACCUGUUUAAUCUAAUCUGAUUCAAUUCCUGGGUAAGAGAGGGUUUGCCAUGAGAAUACUGAGCCUUAGGCAGCUUCUGUGAACGAUGGACAGACUGAGCAGGACUUGAAUUUAGAUCUCCUGGUGCAGACUCUAGGCGCUUAUCAUUCCAUCCCAGUGUGAUUUAGAGUGUUGUUAGAUGUUUGACUUUUAAAUCUUUACUUCCUGGUAUCCAGAUGACUGUGCAGAAUGACCCCUGACUUGGGCCCUGGUGGUGGGGAUCACUUUAAUAAGGCUGUGUAUGAUUAUUAGCUGAUGGCUGUGUUGUAAUCCUUUACACACUUCAGAUUAAAAGAAAUUUCCCAGUGAAACAACGAGCUGCCUUUCGUCAUUGCUGGAAGACUUUGCCAUGUUUGUUGGAAAUGGUUGAUGCAUUUUUCCCCCUGAAUACUUAGCAUUCAACGCCGAGUGGCUCCCACUGCUAAGGAUGGUGCACCUGAAGGAAGGCCAUUCUCCUCUGUCUUUUUGUCAGGAAUUGAUCAUAAAGAUGGGUUAAUUCCUCCAGGCCAACUCUAAAACUUAGUUUUAUGAAAAUAAAAAUUGUGGUAAUAAUAUUUCAUGGUCUAUAAUAACAGAAGGCUUUGCCCCUCUUUCCUGGAGUAAGGAUUAAUUUCUGGAGGUUUGAGCAUGUGAGGGCAGUGGUAGGGUGUUUGCUGGCAUGCAGUAGACCAUGUCUUCCAUCUGCAGCAUCACAUACAGAAUAGAAGGAAAAGAAAAACAUCUUUCCAGGACAAAGAGCUUCAAGCUACUUUCUUCUUUUCAUUACAGCACGGAUCCCAAUGCUAGAUGCCAUAAAAUGCCUUAGAUAGAGUGUGCUCUGUUUCCCAAGGCUUGGCUUGGCAUUUAAACCAUUUUAAUAGGGAGCUGUAUAAGAAAAUCUAAUAGAAUACCUAAAAAAGGUACAUUUGCAGACCUGGUGGAUGAAGUUGCUUGCUGGCUUGAGUUUAGAAUUUUUGUAAGAAAGUCAGAAAGCAUUUUUGCCUGCUAGAAACAGGGUCUCAAUGUGUACCCAAGCUAGCCUUGAACUCUCAGUGAUCUUCCUGCUUCAGCUUCUUGAGUGCUGGGGUUACAGCCAUGAGCCACUGUGCCUUGCUCCAGAACAUCUUUGGAAAGGGAAAUUUUUACAAAUCUAGGCUUGUCAAAGCAGUGUUUGUACCAGUAGGAACACAAUCAAGCCAGUGUAUUGUCUGCUCCUAUCUUGCCAUAGCCUGUUGCCAGCAGGCAGUAGAUCUAGGGCUGGAUCCAUGGAGUCUUAGCUGAAGAGGUGACUACUAACUGCUGAAUACUUGUGAUGACUGUGGCUGAAACUAGAGCAUACACACAGCUUCCACAACACUUACAGAAGUACACUUUCAGAGUUUAAAAGUUAGACCUGUAAUGUCCUCUCGUACUGAGCCGUUUGGUGCCAAGUAUUUGUGAAAAUUUAUGUUUCUUUAGUGCAUGUUUAUCCCCAAGCUGAAAAAUUUUAAACCAUUUUUAGUCUCUUCCUUCAAGGAUAUUGCUUGGCUUUUUGAUUUACACAAAUUAUAUUAUGUAGGUCAAAUCCUUGGCUAGAAACUCAUCUAAAUAAGGUUUACCUCGGAAUCCCGUGUUUAAAUAGCACUGGAAAGAAAUGUGCUUAGCUUGAUGGUUUUUCCCUAAAGUGUGAUAGUCAGUGCUGAGUAUUUAUUUUGUUUGAGUUUUUCAAUACUUUUAGGUUAUAGCCCAUUUUAGGAAUAGAAAAGUGCAACUUUAAUGCUCAUUUCUCCUGUGAUGUAUUGGGAAAUGUUUGGGCGGAAAUGUUUAUAUUUUUAUUGUACAUAACU